CGGUUCGCCAUUGGGAAAAAAAGUCACAUGCCUCCUCUCGUACUCCAUGCCUCUGGCGCUUCGCCUCGCUUUGCAGCGGCGGCGACCCACCCCGUCGUCCGCCUCGCCUUGCCUCACGCCGGAGGCGGCCGGUGGUAGCACAACGUGCUCCGUCGGCGGCAACGGCGACUCCUUCUUGCCGAAUAGAGGAGCCGUUUGAUGUUCAGCAGGAACUCCUCAUCUGGUGAGAUCCCCCCCUCCCCAAUUGCAAGCACCUAUUUGAUGUUCUUCUGCCCAUCUAAAUUCCACAUGUUAUGUCAGUGGUACAGCCGCAUGGAUUGGAAGUAUGUAUUUCAGCUUGGGUUUAAAGGGGCAGUCUGGUGAUAUGAAAAUUUGUACAAACUAUCUAGGACCUCAAGUUCACAUGGGUGUGCUUAUUUACCUUCUAACUACAGAUGACACCCAAUAGAUCAAUUAGUGCCAUCUCCAGAUUUCUAUCAUCAUGUUGCUUCAUUUAUCUUCAUAUAAGUUUCACUGAGAGAUGCAUGCAUUAAACAUAGUGUUUUUUAGUGGGCAUCAGACUUGGUUAGAUGGCUUUUGCUGUGAAAGAAAAUUUAUCUCUCUAAAGAUCUGUACUCUGAAUCCUAGAUCUCAUACUUGAUUUUUGGUAUAAGAAUAGAUAUCUAUAGAUCGUUGCUGUAUGGAUACAGUAUAGAUGAGAUACUUGAUUUCACUACUCCAAGAUCACUUACAGGUAAUUGAACUUGCUCCGGAAGCAUGGAGCAUCCUGAGAUCCCUGAUGUGGUAGUUAGCUUCUUGCAUGUUGCUUACACAUACGUGCCAGUAGCUGUCUCCAGUCUCCACUGCAUUUCACUAGCAGUAGUUUUCGCCUUGUGAGUUAGACGAUUCCGAGAGAGCAAAGAGUGAGUUGAGAGGGAUGGAGAGAGCACAGAAGGGAAGGAGAAAGGAAUAGGGAGGAGCGGCGGUGGUUGGUUCUCCGGAGGCACUGGAUCGGGCACGGGCGCAGAGCUCCUGCUCGGGGACGCGAAGAUCCUGGGAGGCACUCUCCCAUUCAGUUACCCUUACUAUCGGUUCCUAGGUGCAGCCCCGGCGGCCAUCGCCUGAACGGCGCGGACGCGUGCUUCUCCCCAGGGAGGGCCAUGCCGCUGCAGAUGAAACUGAAUCCCCUUCCGAGCCGGCGGACAUGACAUGGUUGGUUUCACGGGAUUGACUCGGCUACCUACAGAAGUGCCACCAAUCUGAACCAAGCUGUUGCGUCAAGGCUACAUCAUCAGGAUUCACACCUCGCCAGAUCCGAGACUGCUGUUUGGAAGGGAUCCAUUAGUUGUCGCCGCUGUUCAAGUUAGAUGUAACACAAUCUGUACAGCUCCAUUAUUGCGAUUCAAAGACUCCAUCAUGGAGUAAUUUUUGCUGUAGCUUCUAGGUUAAUUUUUUAUGUGGUCGGCAUAACACCUAAUUCAUAAUGAAGUAAUUUUAAAUAAGUUAUAAGGUUUAAGAGAAA